rnacentral:rRNA from 1 species
GCAGGACGCAUGGGGGCGUGCUUAACACACCGCAGGUCGAACGAUGAUGCCCAGCUUGCUGGGCGGAUUAGUGGCGAACGGGUGAGUAAUACGUGAGUAACCUGCCCUUGACUCUGGGAUAAGCCUGGGAAACUGGGUCUAAUACUGGAUACUACCUCUUACCGCAUGGUGGGUGGUGGAAAGGGUUUUACUGGUUUUGGAUGGGCUCACGGCCUAUCAGCUUGUUGGUGGGGUAAUGGCUCACCAAGGCGACGACGGGUAGCCGGCCUGAGAGGGUGACCGGCCACACUGGGACUGAGACACGGCCCAGACUCCUACGGGAGGCAGCAGUGGGGAAUAUUGCACAAUGGGCGGAAGCCUGAUGCAGCGACGCCGCGUGAGGGAUGACGGCCUUCGGGUUGUAAACCUCUUUCAGUAGGGAAGAAGCGAGAGUGACGGUACCUGCAGAAGAAGCGCCGGCUAACUACGUGCCAGCAGCCGCGGUAAUACGUAGGGCGCAAGCGUUGUCCGGAAUUAUUGGGCGUAAAGAGCUCGUAGGCGGUUUGUCGCGUCUGCUGUGAAAGCCCGGGGCUCAACCCCGGGUCUGCAGUGGGUACGGGCAGACUAGAGUGCAGUAGGGGAGACUGGAAUUCCUGGUGUAGCGGUGAAAUGCGCAGAUAUCAGGAGGAACACCGAUGGCGAAGGCAGGUCUCUGGGCUGUUACUGACGCUGAGGAGCGAAAGCAUGGGGAGCGAACAGGAUUAGAUACCCUGGUAGUCCAUGCCGUAAACGUUGGGCACUAGGUGUGGGGGACAUUCCACGUUUUCCGCGCCGUAGCUAACGCAUUAAGUGCCCCGCCUGGGGAGUACGGCCGCAAGGCUAAAACUCAAAGGAAUUGACGGGGGCCCGCACAAGCGGCGGAGCAUGCGGAUUAAUUCGAUGCAACGCGAAGAACCUUACCAAGGCUUGACAUUCACCGGACCGCCCCAGAGAUGGGGUUUCCCUUCGGGGCUGGUGGACAGGUGGUGCAUGGUUGUCGUCAGCUCGUGUCGUGAGAUGUUGGGUUAAGUCCCGCAACGAGCGCAACCCUCGUUCUAUGUUGCCAGCACGUGAUGGUGGGGACUCAUAGGAGACUGCCGGGGUCAACUCGGAGGAAGGUGGGGAUGACGUCAAAUCAUCAUGCCCCUUAUGUCUUGGGCUUCACGCAUGCUACAAUGGCCGGUACAAAGGGUUGCGAUACUGUGAGGUGGAGCUAAUCCCAAAAAGCCGGUCUCAGUUCGGAUUGAGGUCUGCAACUCGACCUCAUGAAGUCGGAGUCGCUAGUAAUCGCAGAUCAGCAACGCUGCGGUGAAUACGUUCCCGGGCCUUGUACACACCGCCCGUCAAGUCACGAAAGUUGGUAACACCCGAAGCCGGUGGCCUAACCCCUUGUGGGAGGGAGCCGUGCGAAGGUAGUUCAGGCAGACCGAAUCCC